CUACUGAAUCAUAGAAUUUAUUAAAAUUCAUGAUGUCGUAAGGGAAAAUAAUGAUAGUACCUUACUAUGAGUGUCGUCCAAAUCUGGUGCCAGAAGACUCGGUAAGACCAGAGACGCAAACGUUAAUCAUCAUAAACAGGCGUAAAGGGUUUGUAGGCAGCUUUCACCAAACUAUGAUUACAAAAUAAAGUAGUUUAAUUGAAAGCUAGAAUCAAAAAGAGGUUAUAGUGUAUAACGCCUAGAGGAGGGCUGAUAUCCAUAGAUCCUAGGCAGAAUACUCAGGGCGAAGGCCACUCUCCACUAAUGAUUGACGCUGAGAAACGAAGGUUAGGGUAGGAAAUAGGAUUAGAUACCCCGGUACUCCUUUCUGUAAACGAUGAAUGGUAGUCAUUAGUUUUAUAACUAGAGACGAAGUUAACACAAUAACCAUUCCGCCUUGUGAGUACUACUGCAAAGUAGAAAACAAAAAAAUUAGUCGGUCUCGAAGCAAACGGAGUGAAGCAUGUUAUUUAAU
rnacentral:rRNA from 1 species